GGGUGUCCGGCCUCACUGGGACUGAGACACUGCCCAGAGCCCUACGGGGUGCAGCAGUCUCGAAUCAUCCGCAAUGCGCGAAAGCGUGACGGUGCGACGCCGCGUGCGGGAGGAAGCCCUUCGGGGUGUAAACCGCUUUUCAGAGGUAUGAAGGAUGCCGGGUGAACAGCCCGGUGGUUCAGACGUCAACUCUGGAAUAAGCCACGGCUAACUUCGUGCCAGCAGCCGCGGUAAGACGAAGGUGGCGAGCGUUGCUCGGAAUCACUGGGCUUAAAGCGGGCGUAGGCGGCCCGGCCAGUCGGGUGUGAAAUCCCUUGGCUCAACCAAGGAACGGCACCCGAUACUACCGGGCUUGAGGCGUCUAGGGGCGACUGGAACUCUCGGUGGAGCGGUGAAAUGCGUAGAUAUCGAGAGGAACGCCAAUGGUGAAGACAGGUCGCUGGGGGCGUCCUGACGCUGAGGCCCGAAAGCUAGGGGAGCAAACGGGAUUAGAUACCCCGGUAGUCCUAGCCCUAAACGAUGCACACUAGGUGGGGGAGACUCUGACAGUCAUCCCUGCCGCAGGGAAACCGUUAAGUGUGCCGCCUGGGAAGUACGGUCGCAAGGCUAAAACUCAAAGGAAUUGACGGGGGCUCACACAAGCGGUGGAGCAUGUGGCUCAAUUCGAGUCAACGCGAAGAACCUUAUCCUAGGCUUGACAUGGAGGUAGUAGGAGGCCGAAAGGCCGACGACUGGUUCAGUCCAGAGCCUACACAGGUGCUGCAUGGCUGUCGUCAGCUCGUGCUGUGAAGUGUUGGGUUAAGUCCCUUAACGAGCGAAACCCUUACCCUUAGUUGCCAGCGGGUCAUGCCGGGGACUCUAAGGGGACUGCCACGGUGAACGUGGAGGAAGGUGGGGAUGACGUCAAGUCCUCAUGGCCUUUAUGCCUAGGGCUGCACACGUGCUACAAUGACGGCUACAGAGGGAAGCGAGGCCGCGAGGCGGAGCCAACCCCUAAAAAGCCGCCCCAGUUCGGAUUGCAGGCUGCAACCCGCCUGCAUGAAGUUGGAAUCGCUAGUAAUCGCGGAUCAGCUAUGCCGCGGUGAAUGUGUUCCUGAGCCUUGUACACACCGCCCGUCAAGCCACCGUAGCCGGGAGUACCCGAAGUCGCCGACCUAACCCGCAAGGGAGGGAGGCGCCGACGGUAAGCUCGGUGACGGGGACUAAGUCGUAACAAGGUA
rnacentral:rRNA from 1 species